CGAAUGGCGCGUCCUAUACAUGCAGUCGAACGCUUUGUCUUUAACUGAUCUGACGAGCUUGCUCUGAUUUGAUUUUAUCUGACAAAGAGUGGCGAACGGGUGAGUAACACGUGGGUAACCUACCUCUUAGCAGGGGAUAACAUUUGGAAACAAGUGCUAAUACCGUAUAAUACCAACAACCGCAUGGUUGUUGGUUGAAAGAUGGUUCUGCUAUCACUAAGAGAUGGACCCGCGGUGCAUUAGCUAGUUGGUAAGGUAACGGCUUACCAAGGCAAUGAUGCAUAGCCGAGUUGAGAGACUGAUCGGCCACAAUGGGACUGAGACACGGCCCAUACUCCUACGGGAGGCAGCAGUAGGGAAUCUUCCACAAUGGGCGCAAGCCUGAUGGAGCAACGCCGCGUGUGUGAUGAAGGGUUUCGGCUCGUAAAACACUGUUAUAAGAGAAGAACGGCACUGAGAGUAACUGUUCAGUGUGUGACGGUAUCUUACCAGAAAGGAACGGCUAAAUACGUGCCAGCAGCCGCGGUAAUACGUAUGUUCCAAGCGUUAUCCGGAUUUAUUGGGCGUAAAGCGAGCGCAGACGGUUAUUUAAGUCUGAAGUGAAAGCCCUCAGCUCAACUGAGAAUGGCUUUGGAAACUGGGAUGACUUGAGUGCAGUAGAGGAAAGUGGAACUCCAUGUGUAGCGGUGAAAUGCGUAGAUAUAUGGAAGAACACCAGUGGCGAAAGCG
rnacentral:rRNA from 1 species